AUUGAACGCUGGCGGCAGGCCUAACACAUGCAAGUCGAACGAGUGGCGGACGGGUGAGUAAUGUGUGGGAAACUGCCUGAUGGAGGGGUAUCACUACUGGAAACGGUAGCUAAUCCCGCAUACCAUCAGAUGCCCCUAGAGGGGAUUAGAUUGUUGGUGGGGUAACGGCUCACCAAGGCGAAGAUCCCUAGCUGGUCUGAGAGGAUGAUCAGCAAAACGGGGACUGAGACACGGCCCAGACUCCUACGGGAGGCAGCAGUGGGGAAUAUUGCACAAUGGGCGCAAGCCUGAUGCAGCCAUGCCGCGUGUAUGAAGAAGGCCUUCGGGUUGUAAAGUACUUUCAGCGGGGAGGCGUUACCGGCAGAAGAAGCACCGGCUAACUCCGUGCCAGCAGCCGCGGUAAUUC
rnacentral:rRNA from 1 species